rnacentral:rRNA from 1 species
AGAGUUUGAUCCUGGCUUAGGAUGAACGCUAGCUACAGGCUUAACACAUGCAAGUCGCGGGGCAGCAUGAAGUUUGCUUGCAAACUUGAUGGCGACCGGCGCACGGGUGAGUAACGCGUAUCCAACCUUCCCCUUAGUAGGGCAUAGCCCGGCGAAAGUCGGAUUAAUACCCUAUGUUCUUCGUAGAUGACAUCUGAAAUGAAGCAAAGGUUUACCGCUAAGGGAUGGGGAUGCGUCUGAUUAGGUAGUCGGCGGGGUAACGGCCCACCGAGCCUGCGAUCAGUAGGGGUUCUGAGAGGAAGGUCCCCCACACUGGUACUGAGACACGGACCAGACUCCUACGGGAGGCAGCAGUGAGGAAUAUUGGUCAAUGGGCGUAAGCCUGAACCAGCCAAGUAGCCGUGCAGGAAGACUGCCCUAUGGGUUGUAAACUGCUUUUAUGCGGGGAUAAAGUGAGGGACGUGUCCCUUUUUGCAGGUACCGCAUGAAUAAGGACCGGCUAAUUCCGUGCCAGCCGCCGC